UGUUCAACUGCUUUGGUCAUAUGCGAGUCAAGGUUGUUCUCUUUAGCCAAGCGCAGUUUUCGAAAGCGAAACGACGCUUUUGCAUCAGCAUAUAGUGCCGUCGCCCAUUUACAACACAGUCAAUCAAUGUAAUUUUGUAUGUCACUGCGAAACCGCCGAACGCAGGGAACUCACUCGCAUGUGGGGAACUGCAUAACUAGCCACGGGAUUACCGUGCCUCUUGGGAAGCUGCUUUGCAUCAAAGGCCAGGUACCCUUGCUAUGAUUCACCGCAAAAUAUUUUGUAUGUCUAACCGCUUAACAUAUUUGUAUUGCGGUGAAGCUAACCUUACGGAACCGAAUUUCGCAACGCUUUUUAGACUCCUGCAUCUCUACCAGCCACUACCAAACGCUUGUCGGUACGUCUCUUGGCAAAGGUCCAGACUGAACAUCCCACGUCUUGGUUUGACUUCCUGGUACAGGAUACUUGCACUUAGCAUGGAGUGAUGAAGCAAAGCAGUGUACUGUUAUUAAAUGUGCAGAUUUUAGCAGUAUAAGAGCAGUUCAUUAAAAAAACAUGUGUGCUGAAAAUAAAGUGUUCUUACCCACA